GAACAAUUCAGACAGUCUUCUGACUAAAUACAAGGGUGCUGCUUUCACAUCCUGAGUCUGAUGCAGACCUCAGAAAUCAUACCUAGCUAGCUGAGUAUUGGUGAAAGAUAACCUGUGAAUCAAUGCAGUGUCCCACUUUACACGGUGUCUGAAAACCUGACGAGAGAAUACAGCUGGUUGUCGGAUUCGGAAAAUGUAAAAUAUCACGUAAAGAGCAUUGUAAACAAGAGCCAGCAACCACACGACAUGUACAGAGAAUGACUUCAGCUGGAAAUUUCACGGGGAUUUCAAACAACGGUCAACCAACGCUGUCAGCAGUUCACCAAAAAAAUAAAAUGUUGCCGGUCGCUCCUGCAUCACCUUGACAUGGCAAGACUGGAAGGUUCUCAGGGGUCCCGACCCAUGACCCUUUACCCUACGGCUCCUGGGUGUUGUUGACAUUGCCUGGUGAAUAACUGAGAGAGAGCAAGAGAGAAAGAGAGAGAAGUGUCCUCGGAGGGAGACACUGCGAAUGAAUAAGGAGUAGAUCAAAGCUGAAGAUAAGCCCAGAGGUCACGACCCCUGCUAGGGCGUCUGUCAGGAGGUGUAAAGGAUACAGGAUAUGCUGUGUAACACAGGUUGUCUGCAGAAAGAACGAGCGGCACUCUCAGAAAUCCUUAGGAUCAGCCAGAAAUUCCCAGCCAAGCGACCGAAACACUAGUGCACAUAAACAAGGGAAGUGCAUCAUUAGUCUACCCAAAUGAGUCUCAAUGAUGAUGAACUGGACUUCUCAGUUCCUUUAAACUGCUUUCUGUGGAGCUCUAGGACAAGAGCAUGAGUUA